rnacentral:rRNA from 1 species
UACGUAGGGGGCGAGCGUUGUCCGGAUUUAUUGGGCGUAAAGGGCGCGUAGGCGGUUUCUUAAGUUUGAAGUGACAGUGGGUGGCUUAACUACCCAAGGCCUUUGAAAACUGGGGAACUUGAGGACCAGAGAGGGACAUAGAAUUCCAGGUGUAGCGGUGAAAUGCGUAGAUAUCUGGAGGAACACCGGUGGCGAAGGCGGCAUCCUGGACCAACACUGACACUGAGGAGCGAAAGCCAGGGGAGCAAACGGG